CGCCCCAGCAGCAGCAGCAGCAGCAGGUGCCCCAGAAGCCUAGCUAUCCGCCCCAGCAGCAGCAGCAGCAGCAGCAGGUGCCCCAGAAGCCUAGCUAUCCGCCCCAGCAGCAGCAGGUGCCCCAGAAGCCUAGCUACCAGCCCCAACCACCCAAAAAGCCUGGCUACUAUCUUCAGUGGCUGCAGAGAACGCAGGUUCCUCUGAAGCAUAGCUAUCCACAGCUGCAGGUGCCCCAGAAGCCUAGUUACCAGCCACACUGGCCCAUCCAGCCUGGCUAUCUGCCCCAGUGGGCGCAGAGAGCGCAGGUGCUUCAGUGGCCCAGAUACCAGCCCCAACGGGCUUAAUAGAUCAGUUACUCACCCCAGCAGUUCCAGGUGUCUGAGCAGGCGCGCUACAAUGAUUAUCCACAUUUUGGCCAAGGAGUCGCUCCCCAAAUGGACACGAAGUGGCACAGCACCACUGGAGUUUCUGGUAACAACAUUGGGAAUGGCUAUGGACUUCGGUCAAAUCUAGAGGAGCGAUGGGCAGGGUACACAACACUGAAGAUGCCUCAAGGACUGCUUUCAACUGAGCCAUUGUAUUGACUUGUCAAAUUAAAAUAAACUAACCUUGUAUCUA